UACGGAGGGAGCUAGCGUUGUUCGGAAUUACUGGGCGUAAAGCGCACGUAGGCGGCUUGUCACGUCGGGUGGUGAAAGCCCGGGGCUUAACCCCGGGUCUGCAUUCGAUACGGGCAGGCUAGAGUGUGGUAGGGGAGAUCGGAAUUCCUGGUGUAGCGGUGAAAUGCGCAGAUAUCAGGAGGAACACCAAUGGCGAAAGCAGCUCUCUGGGACGGUACUGACGCUGAGACGCGAAAGCGUGGGGAGCGAACAGG
rnacentral:rRNA from 1 species